CCUACGGGAGGCAGCAGUGGGGAAUAUUGCGCAAUGGGCGAAAGCCUGACGCAGCGACGCCGCGUGAGGGAUGAAGGUCUUCGGAUCGUAAAGCUCUGUCAGCAGGGAAGAACCGUCACUGUGCUGAUCAGCAGUGAAUUGACGGUACCUGCACAGGAAGCACCAGCUAACUCCGUGCCAGCAGCCUCUGUAAUACGGAGGGUCCGAGCGGUAAUCGGAAUGACUAGGCGUAAAGGGCUCCUAGGCGGGAUGUCAAGUCAAGGGUGAAAUCCGCGCGCUCAACGUGGGAACUGCCUUUGAAACUGGACAACUUGAGUGUGUGAGAGGAUAGUGGAAUUCCAGGUGUAGGAGUGAAAUCCGUAGAUAUCUGGAGGAACAUCAGUGGCGAAGGCGACGUUCUGGCACAUAACUGACGCUGAGGAGCGAAAGCGUGGGUAGCAAACAGGAUUAGAUACCCUUGUAGUC
rnacentral:rRNA from 1 species